GGAGGGGUUCCCGAGUGGCCAAAGGGAUCAGACUGUAAAUCUGACGCGGCUUCGCAGGUUCGAAUCCUGCCCCCUCCACCA
rnacentral:tRNA from 1 species